rnacentral:rRNA from 1 species
AGGACGAACGCUGGCGGCGUGCUUAACACAUGCAAGUCGAGCGAGCCCCUUCUUUCGGGGAGGUGUGCUAGCGGCGAACGGGUGAGUAACACGUGGGCAACCUGCCCUCAGCUCUGGGAUAACUCCAAGAAAUUGGGGCUAAUACUGGAUAUGACUGCUGACCGCAUGGUCUGGUGGUGGAAAGAUUUAUCGGCUGGGGGAUGGGCCCGCGGCCUAUCAGCUUGUUGGUGGGGUAGUGGCCUACCAAGGCGACGACGGGUAGCCGGCCUGAGAGGGUGACCGGCCACACUGGGACUGAGACACGGCCCAGACUCCUACGGGAGGCAGCAGUGGGGGAAUAUUGGACAAUGGGCGCAAGCCUGAUCCAGCCAUGCCGCGUGGGUGAUGAAGGCCCUAGGGUUGUAAAGCCCUUUCGGCGGGGAAGAUAAUGACGGUACCCGCAGAAGAAGCCCCGGCUAACUUCGUGCCAGCAGCCGC